rnacentral:rRNA from 1 species
CGCAAGCCUGAUCCAGCAAUGCCGCGUGGGUGAAGAAGGUCUUCGGAUCGUAAAGCCCUUUCGACAGGGACGAUGAUGACGGUACCUGUAGAAGAAGCCCCGGCUAACUUCGUGCCAGCAGCCGCGGUAAUACGAAGGGGGCUAGCGUUACUCGGAAUUACUGGGCGUAAGGGCGCGUAGGCGGCUUGGCCAGUCAGGCGUGAAAUUCCUGGGCUUAACCUGGGGACUGCGCUUGAUACUGCUGAGCUUGAGGCCGAGAGAGGGUGGUGGAAUUCCCAGUGUAGAGGUGAAAUUCGUAGAUAUUGGGAAGAACACCGGUGGCGAAGGCGACCACCUGGCUCGGUACUGACGCUGAGGCGCGACAGCGUGGGGAGCAAACAGGAUUAGAUACCCUGGUAGUCCACGCCGUAAACGAUGUGUGCUGGAUGUUGGGGUCCCUAGGAUCUCAGUGUCGUAGCCAACGCGGUAAGCACACCGCCUGGGGAGUACGGCCGCAAGGUUG